ensembl:snoRNA SNORD116 Small nucleolar RNA SNORD116
GGUUCAAUGAUGAUGUUCAAAUAUGCAUUCCUUGGAAAGAUAAAGUGAGUGAAACAUUUUAAAAAUGUUUGUUUAUUUGAAAGGC